UUUAAGACAGGCGGAGACGUCCAGAGAUACAUCAGUAAUAUCAGAAUUGGAGUCAGACUGUCCUGAAACGCUAUGAAUUUCUGCCAAUGGAACCUCAAAACAAUCAGCUGUGACUCAGAUGCUCUACAAUUUCAAUUCUUUUUAAAAUGCCUUGCCCAGUGACUCAAAUGCUCUACAGUUUCGAUUAUUUUUAAAAUGCCUUGUCCAGUGAAAUACCCCCAAAUCAUUUGGGAUCAAGGAGUAGUAGAUACACUUAUAAUGAAGAAGAAACCCAAGAAGCAAGAAUUUAAUAGAUGCAUAUCCAAUGAACAAGCAAUAACUACAAACAGAGACAUAUCAGAUCAUCCAAAA